GCGGAUGUGGUGGAAUGGUAGACACGCAGGUUUUAGGUACCUGUGCUUCACGGCGUGAGAGUUCGAGUCUCUCCAUCCGCACCA
rnacentral:tRNA from 1 species